ACAUGGGCCCGCGGGCCGGGCGGACUCGGGCGGCCUGGACCGGGAGGAACAGCGAGGGGCGGCGAGCGAGGCUGGGUCCCGGCACGCCCCCGGAGCCCCCCGAGUGGAUUUCCACGCGGAAAGGAUGGUGGCCGUCCGGGUGACCUGCGGAGACACGGCCGGAUCCACCUUCCAGCCUGAUCUUUUGAUCAGGGAGGAAUUCAAAAGAAUGCCCCCUUGUGAUGGCUGCGCUGUCAAGUACAUGGAGCUUCCCUCGAGGAUUUUCUGAGCCUUGUGGAUGUACCGUGAGCCUCGCUGCCUGGGGAGUAAGGCGGCGGAAGCAGUCUCUGGGGGGACCCAUGCCCGCAGCAUUUCUGGAUGCUAAAGGUGGCUUUAAGGAAGGCCCAGCUGAGUGCCUCGUGGAUUCCUGCAGCCUGGAUGCCUGCGGGGGACAGAAGACCGAUGCUUCCUGCCCUCAUCACCCAGGAAUGUCGGGAGGGGGCUCCGCCAAUUCCCUGAAGGGCUCCCAGUGAAACGCACACACCACACGCCGGUCCCGAGGGCAGCCUGCAUCCUCACGGCCCCGCCUGACCACCCCCCGACCCCCUGGGAAGAUGGGUAGCGCUCAUCCAUCGCAUGCCUGAAAGGACCCCCUUCCUCAGUGCACUCGAGUUGGCAGGGAGCAUCACCGUUAGACCCACUGUCUGUGUUCGCUGUGUUGUGUUCGCUGCCGUCCAGCUUCCUGUGAUGGCUGUGGUGUAAUCUGAAAAAAAGCAGAUCCGUUCAGAACUCCAGAAGGACUUGAAAACUGUCCUGCCCCGAACGAAAGCUGGAAUAUCGUGGGCUUUGAUGAACCAAGGAAAAGUGCCUUCAUCAGGACGCAGCAGUAAGCCUGCUGACUACUUAAGCCCUGCCUAGGUUCCUAGGAAAUGGGCAGGAAAAGUGCCUGCCACCUGCUGCUUGCUGGUGUGCUGUUUUGGCAGCAGGAGCUGUGGGAACACACAGGGGCAGGAGAACAAACACAUUACACACGAGGACUUCCAUCCCCCAUUUUCUUCCCCGCCCUCCCUCCUUCUGCAUUUAAUGAGCACUUACUGUGCGGCAGGCACCGUUCUCUGCGCCUGGGAUAAAAGGAUGAGGGACAGGUGGUGCUGCAGGAGAAAUGCAGGGCACCAGGUGGUUGGCUUGGUAACAGCUCCCCAAAGAUAGCCACAUCCUCACUCCCAGAACCUGUGACUGGCACCUUUCGUGGCAAAAGGGACUUUGCAGACAUGGUAAGUUAAGGAUCUGAGCUGCACCAAACUUGACUAAAUGGAGGAGGGUUAAGUAAACUAUAAUUCUCCACCUGGUGCAAUAUUAGGAGAUCCUUGAAAUGAUCAUUUUCGAAAUUCCCGUUCCAAACGGUCUUAGAACUCUGUAUCUUCCUCUUAUACGACUUACCAUGAUUUUUAAUAAUUUAGCUGCCCGGUUACUGAAUUAAUGUCUGUAUCCCCUACUCCUUUGAUGGGGACAGUGCCCUUUUUGCUCACCGUUUUCUCUCAGCUGCCCAGCAUGGUGUCUGGCUUAUAGCAGGUGCAAAAUAAAAUUGGUUGAAUACAUGCCAAAUAAGGAUUUUUUAGAUCCUUGAAACAACAGGAUGAGUGAACCAAGCAAAGCACAUCUGAGCACGAUGUGAAAAUGGAAAUGCAUGUGCAUAUAGAUGACUUCUAGAAGGCAGCUCUGGGAAUGUCACGUGUUUAUGCCAGUAUGGUGGGACGCAGGGCUGAGACUUGUUCUUCCUGCUUUAUUUCCUCCAUGCUGUGCUUAUGCCCAGGGGGCCCUCCCUGUCCAUCCCAGAGGCUGCGCCUCUUGCAUCCCACUUGCUUCGGGUCUAGGAGAAGAGGAACAUCCACUUGGGGUGGGAAGACUUGGUUUGGAAGCUGUCACUCUCCUUCCUUCACCUGCUGCAGGACACUGAACAGUCUUCGAACCCCUCAUAGCUUAGUUGCUUCAAGUUGAAAAUGUGAUAACGGUACCUGCGCCCCUGCGUCUCUCCAACGAAAUGCUGUAACAAAUGCCUUGUGGAUGGGCGACCCCGCUGUAAAGUGUUCCAGGGCUGGCUGCUCCCCAUCCUUCUCUGCCGUGACACCUGAGCCCCUGGUACUCUGCGGAGCCCUGCAGCUUGCCCGCAUGCCCCGUGGACUGAAGGCGAAUGUGUGGCUCCACGGAGGUGCUCGGUGCACUUAGGGUUCCUACGUAGCCAUCUGAGAAUCCCUCUUAAUGGUAAACAGGGAGAUGACAGCUAAUUAACUCAGAGUGCUUCCACGGUGCUCAGCCCUACUACUCAUUGACUGGUCCAUCAGUCAUCCAGCAGUCUUUACUGAGUGCCUUCUGCAUACGGAUUGUGUCUUCAAUUAGCCCUCAGUGGCUGCUGAUGCCACCCAGACUCUGAACUUGGAGGCAGCACGAGAGUCUCUGGACAUCUUGUGCUCAGGCUGCUGAGGGAGAGUCAGGGCGGUUCACCAAGGGGCUGAGGGGAGCCUUCCGACCUUGGAAGGGGACUUUUUCAUCCAGGGAUCCAGGCCGACUCUCCCCCUCCUUUUCUUCCAAAGGGUCCUUGGCGAGGUGUUAGAGGCUGGGUGCAUUUCCCAGGGCUGACAUACACGACAGAAGUGUAUUCUCCCAUAAUUCCGGAGGCCAGAAGUCCAAAAUCAAGGUGUUGGCAGGGUCAUGCUUUCUCUAAAGCCUGUAGGGUAAGGGCCCUUCCUUGCCCCUUCCUAGUUUCCAGUGUCACCAGCCGUCCUGCGGGCCCUUGGCUCCCUCCAGUCUCGGCCUCCGUCCUCACUUGGGCUUCUUCUCUCUGUGUGUCUGUGAGUCUUUGCGUCCCUCUCUCCCUGGAAGGACCCCGGUCAUUGGGUGUAGUGCCCACCCUAAUCCAGGAUGGCCUCGUCGUCCCUUGAUUGCAUCUGCAAAGACCCCGAUCUCAAAGUAAGAUCACCCCAAGUACACAAAUACUUAGAUGGAGUCAGGAUUUCAGUGUAUCUCUUUGGAGGGAUACCGUCCAACCUGUAACAGAACCCAAAGCGAAGCCAGCUCCUCCACGUCGCCCCGCCCCAGCGCAGCUGGCUCAGGGACCACUGCUUGGCUGCAUAGACGGAGGGCUUACUUUCCGAGAGGGACUGGGUAGCGCCCUUCCCAUUCGUUGUCCCGUUCGAUUCCGAGGCAGUCUUGCGGUGCCUUAUGCAGAAAAUACUCAUCAGACACCUCCCGUGCCUGGCCCUGGAGGCGUGAAAGAUCCUUGAAGUCCUUGCCCACAGGGAUCUUAACGUCUUUAAUGCAGUGAAGAGGCAGGGAUGUGGGAAUAUGCAGUUCCAGUCGUUGCCACUUCUGAUGAAAAAGCAGAGCUCUGCAGGAGAGAACCUUCAGCUCAAGGUCUCGGCCCAGACAGUGACAUCACGGAGCCGCCCCCACCCCACCCCGCGGCCCAUGGGUGGGGAGGCAAGGAGGCUCCGAGAAGACCUUGCAGUCGGGGGAGGAGCAGCGGGGGUAGGGGGGCGGGAGUGCGGGGAGAAGCUGGGCUGCAGGAAUGAAGCCCCCCUGACUGGCCGCCCCCUGGGCACCAUGUGUGGGCCCCUCCUCUGGGCCCCUGGGAGGGAGGCUUUCUUCCUUGUGCCUGCGGUCAGAUCCCGCAUCUCCUUUCUGUCUUUGUUCUCUGGAUUCUUCCUGCCUUGGGUGUGUGAAAAGGGAGCCUCUUGGCAGCGUGCUCUGCUCUUAGAGGGUGCCACGCACCUGCACCCCUCUUCCCCUCCCUCCGGCCCCUCCGCCCUCCCUCCUCCUCCCUCCUCUCCUUACCUGGCCGCCACCUGACCCUCCUCCUCGUACAACUCGGUUCAGAGAAUAAUCCACAGCAGCUGCCUUAGAGAAUCUUUCAAAGACACGCACCGGCCUGUGCCCUCCUUUCUUUCAGUGAAUACCCUUCAGCCACCCCCCACACGUGGUCCUCAGGUUCGUGCGCUCAUGUCUUCAUGGUCGUUACUUGGUUUCUAAGGCUCUGGUGGGCACUGGCUGGGCUUCAGGAAGGGCCCCAUCUGGGCACUGAGAGAUGGGCAGGCAUUCCCUACCCCCGCCCUGGGGAGAAAUGUGGUCCAGCCACAAAGAGCAGGAGAGACUCAGAGGAGACAUGGUGUAGAGCAGGUCCUGGCUCUUGCUGUUGAGAUGAGACCAUUCGAGGCCUCAAAGCAGAUCUGACUUGUGCUUUAACUCAGUCAUUCUAGCUGCUGCUGCGCUGGAAAUGGGCUGAAAGUGGCAAAGGUGGAAGCAGACGGACCAGUUAAGAGACUGCUGCAGUGAGCCAGGGAAGGGACGAUGGUGGCCUGGCCUCGAGGUCGCAGAGGGGGUUGUGAGAAGUGAUGGGAAGUGACUAUGUCAGGAAGGUAGACUUUGCUGGUGGGUUGGAUGCGGGGCAUCAAGUAAAGGGUGAUCCCAGAAGUUUACUUUGAGCAAGUAAAGAAUGAAGUUUCCAUUUAUUCAUAUAAGGGACCCGUGAGGGGAGCAGGGAGUUCGGUGGGCAGGGGCGGAAUUGAGAUGGUUGAGAUGUUAGACAUCGUUAGACAUACAGGUAGAGAUACUCGGAGAGCAGCUGGAUGUGUGAAUCUGGAGUGUGAAGGUGAAUAUCCUAUGUCAGUUCGGCUAGAUAUCCAGACAUUUGGUCAAACACCAGUUUAAGUAUCACUGUGAAGGCAUUUUUUGGAUGAGAUUAACAUUUACAGGAGUUGCUAUCGUGGCGCAGUGGUUAACCAAUCUGACUGGGAACCAUGAGGUUGCAGGUUUGAUCCCUGCCCUUGCUCAGUGGGUUAACGAUCCGGCAUUGCUGUGGCUGUGGUGUGAGCCAGCGGCUAUAGCUGCGAUUCGACCCCUAGCCUGGGAACCUCCAUAUGCCGCAGAAGCGGCCCAAGAAAUGGCAAAAAGACCAAAAAAAAAACAAAAACAAAAA
rnacentral:lncRNA from 1 species